CGGGUUCCUGACUUUCUAUUUCAUCAACCUUUUGCUAUGCUUUCAAUUUCUUCACCCUGUUCUGCAGGCAAUCUCCUGACUUGCUAUUUUUCAAUCUAUUUAACUUUUAAUUUCUUUACCUUGUUGCUUAUUUUUCCAUUUAUUCGCCUUGUGCUUCGGGCAGGCUUCUCACAUCACAUCAAAACUGGAAAUAAAAUUAUCCCAAACAAAAAUUAUUAUAAAUAAAAAUUUCGUUUGCUUGAAAAGUAAAGUUCCAAAAACAAGAAUUAAAUUUUACCAUAGUUUAUCAUCAAAGGACUUUUGUGAAAGUCACUCAUUAUAGGAAUCCAGGAGAAUGACUCAACUAUAAGGUACGUCUGACAGGAAUCAAAGGAAUUAACUCGACUAAAAGGUACAUCUUCUAGGAAUCAAAAAGGAAUGACUCGACUAAAAGGUACGUCUCUUAGGAAUCAAGGGGGAUAACUUGACUAAAAGGUACGUCUUAUAGGAAUAAAAGGGGAUGACUCAACUAAAAGGUACGUCUUAUAGGAAUCAAAGGAGAAUGACUCGACUAAAAGGUAUGCCUUAUAGGAAUCAAAGGGAAUGACUCGACUAAAAGGUACGUCUUCUAGGGGUCAAGGGUAAUGACUCGACUAAAAGGAAUGACUCGACUAAAAGGUAUGCCUUAUAGGAAUCAAAGGGAAUGACUCGACUAAAAGGUACGUCUUCUAGGGGUCAAGGGUAAUGACUCGACUAAAAGGUACGUCUUAUAGGAAUCAAGGGAGAUGACUCGACUAAAAGGUACAUCUUCUAGGGGUCAAGGGGAAUGACUCAGCUAAAAGACACGUCUUAUAGGAAUCAUGGGAGAUGACUCAACUAAAAGGUACGUCUUAUAGGAAUCAAUGGUAAUGACUUGACUAAAAGGUAUGUCUUCUAGGGGUCGAGCGGAAAUACUUGACUAAAAGGUACGUCUUCUAGGGGUCAAGGGGAAAGACUCCAUUAAAAGGUAUGUCUUCUAGGGGUCAAGGGGAAUGACUCGACUAAAAGGUACAUCUUCUAGGAGUGAAGGUUCAAUUUAAUAAGUGUAUCACCUAGCAAAUAAAAACUGAAAUCCCUGGACAAGAAAGUGUGUCUCCGAGGGAUAUAGGAUGAUGAUUUUUUACCAUGACUUGAUUAUUAAACCUGUGCAACAACAUUGUUUCCUCCAUUUGUAGGAGUGAGGCAUUGCAGCCCUUGAUAUUUAUGUUCCAAAGUCCUUGCUUUGAAGGUAAUAUGUUUUCUAUUUCAUCAAAGAAAACUUGUGAGUUAAAAAAAACAUGGUGGCUGGCUUGUGGCUUUAGCUUUCGCAGAAAUUGCUCUUGCCCCAGUCACAUUUAGCCUUGCUUCCAACCAUUAGCAUAUGUCAUUGACUUGUUGCAUCAAUGAUCCAAACUCAUAUUAGGAAGAGUGACUCUGCCACAAACACAGUAUCUCUGCUUUGUCAUGUUUCUCAGUUAAACCCUUUGAACUAUGGUAUUUUCGUGGGUUCCCAUACUUAUCUAUUUGACAAAACUUUCUGCAUGCCUUCUUUUGGCUCACAAUUAUGUCUCUUUCAUGUGCUAGCUUUUUUCUUGUUUUGUGCAAUUAAAGAAGCUGGAAGCCAGUUUUAAAAUCUUUUCUCACUUGUUUUUUAUACAGACUUGGCUAAAAAAAAAGAACGAUAAUUUUUGUCUAGAUAACUGACUCAAGAAAGAUAAAAUAAAGAUAAAGAGAAGAAACAAAAGACAAUAAAUGUCCCCUUUUGAAACAAAGAAAUGAAAAAUUCAUCUAAAAAUGACAGUCAACACUAAUGAUUAUGCCACGCAUUUGGGAUUAAGCAACUUGAUCUUUUCAUCCAAACUUUCUACCCAUAGUUGUCGAGUUAAUGGUCUUGAAAUUCUGUUGCUUCCUUAGGUCAAUUGCAUUUAAGACCCCAUUUGGAAAGUGGAGCCUUGAAGUAUUUUUGCCAAUAAGCUUCUCUCCUUUUCUUUUCCUCAGCUCACCAUUGCCUUAUGGUAUCUGUAAGGGUUUUUCACUAAUGAGACUCCCUUAUCUUCAUUUUCCUAAAAUCACAGUUGUCUUACGGUGCCCGUGAUAGUUUUUACUGAUAAGACUCUCUCAUUUUUAUCUCUCUCAACUUAUCAUCGUCUUACGAUGCCCAUGAGGGUUUUCACCAAUAAGACUCUCUCAUUUUAUUUCUCUCCUAAUUCCAUGAGGAAGACAAGUAAUUCCCAAAAUGCGUCAUCACAUUCAUUGCAUUCGUAGCCUUAACAUUCUCAAAGAUUGAUCUGAAGGUCUUUCUUUGGUUGUAACUUGACUUUUGGAUUGGGUUGGAAAGAAAGGAUGGUAUGGGGCCCAAACGAUACUUGAAGUUGGGUGGGAUUUACAACUUUUGGAAUUGACUCAAACAAUGAGGAUCAACUCAUGCCCCAGUUUUUUUGACUGGGCAAUACUAAAUUGUUUAUUUGGUUGGAACGAGCUCAGAGUAGGGAAGCCUACGUAUCUCACUCCCGAGAGAGGAGAAUCAGGUCACGCCUAGUUUUGGCAACUUAUUAUUUUGCUUGACUCUAAUUUUAUUUUCUUUUGUUGACUCUUUUAUUGACUUUUUUUUCUUUUUUGGGACCUUCUGACUCUAUUUUUUUUCUCGACCCUCUUUUCUUUUCCUUUUUUUGGACAUAUUUUUUCUUUCAUUUUUUUUUGAAACUUUCUGACUCUAUUAUUUUGCUCGACACUUUUGUUUUGAGCUUUGCUGACUCUAUCUUGAUUCCAAAAUAGGGGUAUGAAAGAAAAUAGGACUAAAGCUCAAAUGGGGUAAACAAAGGAUGACAUGAUAUUUGGAUAACAGAAUGAAAUGCCUUCAUCAUAUCAAUCCUUGAAAAUACAAGUACAUAUCAUGCAAUAUGAAAGUGAGAGAUGAAGAUCAUUUGUGAUAUUUUACAGCACUAAUUUUAACUGAGACUGUGCGUCGCUACUUCUUCUGCAAACUCCAUCUUUGUUGUACAUUCCACAUGCUUUCGUGGAGAUAAUUUUUCUAUUCCUUUUGAUGUAGGAUCACACAUCCACUAUUUGACCUAAUUGAGACAUGUCUUUCAAAUGUUGACCAAGUUAUUCUCACGAUUCUCAAAAUAAUUCCCUUAAUUUUCAAAGAAGGCUUCAACUUGAUCACCAAAUGCCCCAGCACUCUAUCUAUUUUCUCAUACGCUAUCUAUUUCUAAAUUUAACCCACUGAUUCAAUGCUCAUGCUUAAACUGGAUUUUAAGAUCUGUCUGAAAAUUUCACUACCAUGUCAUAUCACUAGAGUCAACAUAAAAUGUACUGUGUAAAAAAAACAAACAAACAACACAUAUUUGAAACACAAAGGAAAAUGGGACACUUCAUUUAGUUAAAACAAAAAAUAGAAGGGUUUGAACAUAAACGACAAAAAGAAAAAAAGAAGAUAGAUCCCAAACUACAACCCUAAGAUAAUUUGGAUAACAGAAAAUAAAACAAAACAAACUACCAGACCUCUUCCUAGUAGGGAGAGGGGUGACUUCUCAAUUGCGCAGCCUGACAUCUUAGCCACUGGUUUGCGUAUCAUCAUGACUAGAGUUUUCCUCACUGUCAAUGCUCUGCACCAUAAUUGAUCCAUCUUGAAUCAUCUUUUCAAUUUCUCUUUUCAAAUCUCGACAAUCUUCAAUACUAUGACCCUGAGCAUCAGAAUGAUACGCACAUUGUGCAUUAGGAUCAAAAUUUCUUGAAUGCCGAUUAAGAGUGCACCCAAAGAGAGGAGUGAGCAUGCCCUAUUUUACCAAUAUCUGAAAUAAACUGGCAUAUGACUCUCCAAUUGGUUUGAAGCUAUCUCUCGACUUCUGCCUCAUUUCAUUGUUUGGCUUCGAUCGAAAAUCAGGCUUAGAAGGGUUUGGUAUGUUUGUGGAGUUAGAGGACGACUCUGAGGAGUUGGUGCGUUCCACUGUGGGUAACAUAUGGUUGUGCGUUAUAUACUGGAUACAGAGGUGGAGAAGCAGAGUAUAAUGAAUUUUGGGAGUGAUUAUGUGGAGCUUGGGCAUGAACUUGGGUUUGAGCCUGAGAGUAAUGAUGGUGUGGUCCUCUUGCCCAUGCCUAUUGUCCAACUACAAUGGAAGAUGCAUAUUCCUCAUACUUCUUCCCUUUGACACUUUACGAACCUUUUUGAAUUACUUGAGUAGUCGCUUUCAAUGUUGCAAAACUCACAAUGUGACCGGUCUUAAUUCCAUCCUCCACCAUCUCUCCCAUUUUGAGGACCUCAAUAAAUGGCUUACCUAAUGCAGGUAACAAGUGUUGAUAAUAUGUUUCAUCCUAUGCUUGAAUAGACACCUCUACUAUCUUACUUUCUUUCAUUGGCGGUUUCACCCUAGCAGCUUGCUCACACCAUCUAAUCGCAUACUCUCUGAAAGUUUCAGUAUUCUUUUUCUUCAUAUUAGUUAAGGAUUUCUCAUCAGGAAUCAACUCCACAUUGUAUUGAAAUUGUUGCACAAAUUCAUUAGCUAGGUCAUCCCAACUAAUCCACUUGUCGAUGUCUUGGUCAACAAACCAUUCUGAAGCUAGGCCUGAAAGACUCUCACCGAAAUAUGCCAUGAGUAAUUCUUCCUUCCCCUAGCACCCCUUAGUUGGUUGCAAUAAUGUCUCAAAUGUGCUACAGGAUCGCCAUGUCCAUCAUACUUCUCAAACUUCAGCAUUUUAAAACCAAAAGGAAGAUGAACCCCUAGAAACAUGCACAGAUCUUUAUAUGAGACACCUUUGUACCCCCCAAGUCCCUGGAGGUAUUUUAUAGCCAAAUCCAUACUUCUCAAUUUUCUAGUCAUUUCCUUUUGUUCUUCUGUUAUAUUAGGCUUCUCAGUGUUAAGAGGAAAUUCAGGCGGGUGAGUAUAGCCAUAAGGAUUAGUCAACUUAAAUUUGGGAUCAAUAGCAUGAUGUUGAUCAGCAAAAAUAUUCAAUGCAGGCUCUCUCGCAGAGUGAGGAGGAUCAACUUAUGGAUAAACCUCAAAAGUAGGAGCUUCGGGUGGGGGUGGUGCUGCAAAACCAUGAACAGUGGGUGAAGCCAAGCAUGUGGUAGCUUUGUGUUGAGGAGUAAGGAAAUGAAUAUUAGAAGUGUUUGGAUAGUGUUGCCCCGGAGCAGGUCCUGAUGCAUGUUGAAGUGUGUCAACAAAAAUAGAAAACUGUGUAUGUGACACUGGAGGAAAGCUAGAAAGAUAUUCCAGAUUAUCAGUGAGAAAUGGAGGAGGUGGCAACCCAUUAGCCCAAGCUCGAUGCAUUUCUAUCAUUUGUUGCCUUAAUUUUUGAAUCUCUUCAUUAGCUUCUAAAUUCUUAUUGCCCGAACUCCCUAUCUGAUCAGUGACAACAAACUCGAUAUCCUUGUUGGCCAUAACUUUCUCUGUGACUUGGUACAAUAUGGAGGACCAGCCAAAAUGCCACAAACCAACCACCUUAAACUAACUGAACAAGAGAUAGCAAAUGCGUUAGAAUUCAACACUUUUUUUUUGCAAAACCUUUUUUUUUUAAAAGGUCACCGAACCCAAGAGGGGCGCCUAUGUAUCUCACUCCCGAGAGAAGAUAAUCAGGUGUGCAUAGUUCGUGAAGUCCUGCCAAAAUGGACAGUUAAUUCUUUUUCCUUUUCUUUUCUUUUUGAGAAACUUCAAAAAUAACAAAUUGUCAAAAGAAUUGACGAAAAUCUUUUUGCAUUUUUCAGGUUUAAACUCCCUAUACAAAACGAAACCUAUGAUUACCAAAGAAAAAUCUUUUUGAGUUUUCAAUUUUUGAUUUUCAUACGAAAAUGAGAUUUGAAGCUAUUAACAAAAAAUCUUUUUGUGAUUUUCUUUUAAAAAUGUAUAGGAAACACCGACUUUAAAGGAAGAGUGAAGAAAAUAUUUUUUUUUUUGGAUUUUUCAAAUAAGAUCCCCGAACCCACAAUAGGCUGCCUACGUAUCUCACUCCCGAGAAAGGAGAAUCAGGGGUACAUAGUUCGUCCAGAUAGGACAAUUAAGGAUUAAAUAACAAACUAUACCCUGACUUGAGAGACACGACCAAAGACAGACGAUGAACAAUGUAAAUAGAAUCUUUUUCUUUCUAAGUUUUCAGUUUGACACGUAAAAUAAAAAUGACAACAACAAGUAUGAAAGGAAAAUCUUUUUGAUAUUUUUCCUAUAUGAAAUGAACAAAAUUUCUACCAUCUUUUUGCAUUUUCUUUUAUAAAAACCUCCUAUUGUAAAAAAAAAACUUUUUGGGGUUUUCGAAUUGUGAAUGCUUGCUAAAGGAAACAAAAAGAAAAUCUUUUUGAUGUUUUUUUAUUUUUGAAAAAUGAGUGCAAAAAGUAAAAAUCUUUUUUUUUUUGAAUUCUGAAUUGUGGAAAACAAAAGUCAUAAAGAACUGUAAAAACUACGAAACACUUUUUUGAUUCACCUUUUUCUUUUUUUUCCUUUUUUUGAUUUUUCCAUGCCUACACACCCUACUUCUGACACAAGUUUUCCCCAAAUCAGUCCAUCAUGACCACGUUGCCCUCAGAUAUGCAAAAUUUAGCACGUAGGGAUGCUUUAGAGGUGAGUUUCCUACGAAGGACCAAGUGGGCCCCACUAAGUAUCAAUGUGAUGCACAUAAGCAUGACCUAAAGGCUGACCUACCUCGGGGUUCACUAACAAGGUUAUUAGGGGGAGCGUAUGGUCGAUAGUGGCUGCGACAACUUUCCACCCACUCCAUACGUCCGACGGCUCGCCCUCCUAAAAUAAGAGCGACUCAACUAGAGUUCGUAUACACGAUGUGCACUUUGAGACUUGUUGUAGAAAGAAUUGACUCGGGUAAUGCAAAUAAUGCCAGAUAUAAAACGGUAACACAUAAAGAAAAACCAUAAAUAAAGAGCACAUAGACACUCAACAAUGAUAAAAUAAAUACAAACGAUAAUACGAACAAUGUCUAUACACCCCUAAUGCCAAACUAAUCCGAUAAAACUCCCAAAAAUAAGCUCGAAUUCUGAAAAAUCCCCAGCAGAGUCGCCAGAGCUGUCACACCCCUUAUUUUUAACAAAUCAGAUAUUGUUUUUGAGGUUUCAAAAGGGUUUUUUUAUUGGGUGACAAAAGAUGAUUUUUUGUUUAGAAAAAAAGGAUUGUUUUCAUUUAAACUCAGAGUCGCCACCUGGCAUAAUUCGGGUGUGCCAAGUCACCCGUGGAUAUCCUUUUUCAAAAUAAUUUUGACUCUAUAAAACUGAUCCGUGAACAGAGAUUCUGGUUAACAAAUUCUGUUGACCGAGGGGAAGGUGUUAGGCACCCCUCAAUCCCAUGGUUUGACCACGAUCGCUUGGUAGAAAAUAUCGGCUAAUUUGACACUAAGAAUGUAUAAACCACACAAAACACAUAAACAAGCAUCCAAACACACGAAACAAAAUAAAUCCAAGGUAUAGUGUUUAGUCCAAUUAUACAGUCCAAAAUAAAUAAAAUGCAAAAAUAAAUCCUAUCUAACCUACACUAAUCCUAACUAUGCUCCCGUGCUUUACCCGAGACCUCAGGCCUUCAUUACGAAUGUCUUCCACCAACACAAUACGUCGGUGCAUUCCUCAGUGAAUAAAUACAAAUGUCCUCGGGGCAUUCCCCGGCUAAAUGAAUACAAUUGAUCCAAAUGCGGUAAACAAAACCACUCAACACAUAUUUCAAACAUUCCAUCAAUCCACAAUCCCUAAACUUGCCUACCCAGAUUACCAUUUGCCCAUCAACUCUCGAUUUAUCGUAAUUCUAUCACAUCCAACAUCAUCAACGUAGAAAAAUUAAAACAAGUUCUUUAUCAAGAUAAACCCUUCCCCAAAUUUGAUUUAAUCCACAAAUUUUCACGUUAAAAUAAUUAUUCACCCAUAUCAACAUCAAAGUUCCACCAUGGUAGUCUAUUCAAUCACCAAAUAUUCACAAAAAGGGGAACUAAACAUAAUAAUCAACCCACAAUCACAACAUCAAUCACAUAUAAUGAAAUAAAAAUGACAAGAGAUAGAAUUAGACCUCGAUUCCGCUUUCAAAUAAGUAUUCUUUCAUCAAACGGGAUAGAGUCCGCAUCGGAACCUUAACUCGAAACUCAAUCACGUCAAACGGGUUAGGAGUUUCGCCAACAAACGACGUUGUAGUCAUAGGGAUGGACUGUUACGGCUUCAAAUGGAGCUCCGACAAGCCUCAACAAUGACGAACCCGAUGGGGUUGAGCAGAAUUGGGUCACGGGACUUGGUGCUAGUUAUUAGAACUGGUAGUCUAGGCCAAAAUCUGGUGGAUUUUGACGUAUUCCAGCGAGAGUUUGCCGAAAAAACUAUUCACCAUUGCUCUUUUCUCUCUCGACGCACCUCUCUCUCUAUCUGGUUUCUCUACUUAUUGGUCUUCUCUCUCCUUGCCUUUGGGUGCUUGUUUGCUUUAAUGGAGUGUAUGUAAAUGUGUGUGUAUCAUCGUGAGAGGGUGUGUGGUUCUGUGUGUAAUUCCAAGAAUAAGAAAGGGAAAGAUUAUAGAAUCCCCCCCUGGUGAGUGUGUAUGUAUCUAUUUAUAUAGUGAUGAAUGGGGGGUGAAUUCUGUUUUGUACAGCUGUCUAUUUUUUGUGUAUAUUCUUUUAUGAUGGAUAAAAAAAAAUGUGUGUAAAGGUAGGUGGAGACCACGUGGGUAGGUUGUUAGGAUGAGGUAUAAAGUUGGUUAGGAUAGCAUUAAAACAAAAAUAGAAUUUGUUAGAGAUUAUGUUAAGGGUUGUUAUUUUUUAUAUUUUUGUAGGGUAUAAUCACAUGGGUGAGGGUAUAUGGUAAGAUGAGGGUAAAAAUGGAUAAAAAUAUUUUUGGGGAGGGACAAAAUUAGGUGUCUACAGCUAUGGAGAAGCUCAAACGGUGAAGAUAAGAAUAAAUAUGGAAAAUGACCUGAAGGGCCAUUACAAUUUAAAAUUUACUAAAGUAAAAGGUACAUGCCAUGGUAAACUUGGAGUUUGCUAGAAUAAAAGUUCAUAAAUUGAUAUGAACGAUUGUGACAUCCCAAAGAUGUGCAUACUGAGUAUUGAACAUAUGUUGAAGAAUUAGAAAAUUCUUCAUUACUUUUAAUGUUGCCUCUUCUCAUGAUAAGUUGGUUGGACCAACUAAUUUUGGGAUUAGAUUUCUUAAAAUCUGAAAAGUAUAAAAGGUGAAUAAGGGUCCGUUCACCUAUCAUGUGAUAUAUUGAAAAGAUAUGCAUCAAUAAGAUGAUCACAUGUACAUUUAUUAUCAACCUACAGUUUGAAAUUCAUAAAGUUGCACAGUAAAAUUAAGUUAAGAGCAUAACUUUCAGACUGUGUAAUCAAGAUAAUUCUUCUUGAUGAUGAUGGUUUAGCAUUGAAUACCUUCGAUAAAUAGCUAAACCAUUAUAAAGUAAUGUAUCAUAAGAUUUUUAGCUUUCAAUACAAUGUAAGUAAAUUAAAUAUAAUAAUGUAUUAGUAAUCACAAAUAACUAUAAUGUGUCAUGAACUGUAGUGUAUCAUGAACUCAAUGUUAUUAAAUGAGAUACUUGUUAUCAUUAUACAAUAUAUCAUAAGUUUUCACAUAAUAGGAAAACUUAUGAUAUUUGUUAUCAUAAGUUAUUAAAUGACGUAUAUUAUGCAAUUUAAAUGGCAAUUUCUUUAAUUAAGUGCAUUAAUUGCUAAAUUGUAGGCUUAAUAUUGUUUCUUUCCAUUUUUAACCACAAUUAAAGAUUUUUUAAUGUAUCAUAAACUAAUGUAUAAUGACGUUAACUAAUGUAUCAUAUCCGAUAUUUUAUGUAAUUAUUAUAAAAGUAGGGAGAGAGGGUAAUUAGGUAGUAAAGUGUUGGGGUUUAUGUUGUUUAUACAAUUUUUUCAGUUUUUGUAUAGUUAACGGGCCUACUUGUGCAAUGGCAAAAUUAAAGGUCAUAGUUAUAAUGUGUCUUUUUUUAUUAGGUGACAACAUUUGAGUGGCUUACUAAUCCACGUAGGAACGAUUGAGUUUUACGCCUGUAAGUUGCAGAAUUGGAGUGUUUUUUGUUUCAACUUUUAUAUAGUUAAAGGGUUUUUUUGUGCACUGACAAAGUUAAAGGGCAUUGUUAUAAUUUGGUAUCAAGUUAAAGGUCCUGUUUAUGUAUUGUACUUUUUUUGCCACAGGAAAAAUUAGAUGAAUAUCUAGUUGAUAUUCAGUAUCUGUAUCAAUGCUCGAUUAUAUCUGAAUUAUGCAUUGCAUUGCAAGAGCGCUCAUUCUCGAGGCAAUACUCUCAAUACAAAUUUAUUUGGCUAUCAUUAACACAUUUGAAACAUCAUUGCUCCAUUUGAUCGAUAUUCAGGUAUCUGUAUUAAAACUCGAUUAUAUCCGAAUCAUGCAUUGCAUUGCAAGGGCGCUCAUCCUCAAGGCAACACUCCCAAUAAAAAUUUCUUUGGCUAUGAUUAACACAUUUUAAACGAAUGAUGAGAUACGUAAAGGCUGAGAUAGAGGCAAAGCCAUGAUUUCAAUUAAGGGGUUCAAUAUUUAAAGAAAACCUAGUCGAACAGGGGUUUGACACUUACUAUAGAUGCAUAAAAAAUAAAUUUAAUCAUGUAUAAAUAGUAUAUUUUUCCAUCGAAAAAGAUUCGAAUGAACCCCCUAGCUGAAGGCUGGCUUCGUCCCAGUGUGAGGGUUGAUGGUGAUAGGUUUGAGGAGAUCGAGAGAUCGAGGUAGACUAACAAAAAAAUUGGAGAUACAUAAUUAGACAGAAUAUGACACAUCUUCAACUCACUGAUCGAGGACAUUGUCACACCCCUUUUUCAACUCCAAAAAGAAUUAUUUUUAUGGGUUGCGAAAGGAUUUUCAUUAUUAAAGUGACAAAAUGAAGAUAAUUUGUUUUGAAAAGGACCUUUUACAUUCAAAACUCAGAGUCGCCACUUGGCAUAAUCUGGUGUGCCAAGUCACCAUUGGAAAAUCCUUUUCAAAAUCAUUUGACUCUUUAAACUAGUUUGCGAACAGAGAUUCCAGCCAAGGAAUUCUGUUGACCGAGGGGAAGAUGUUAGGCACCCCUCGAUCCCGUGGUUCGACCAUGGUCGCUUGGUGGAGCGUAUCGACUAAUUUUGACACUACGAAUGUACAAACCACACAAAACAUGUAAAACAAUCUAACAAACAAACAAAACAAAACAAAAAAAUGAAUCAAAAGUACAGUGUCUAGUCCAAUUUAUACAGUCCAAAAUAGAAAAAUGCAAAAAUAAAUCCUAUCUAACCUACACUAAUACUAACUACGCUCCUGUGCUUUACCCGACACCUCAGGCCUUCCUCACGAACGUCUUCCUCCAACAUAGCACGUCGGGGCAUUCCCCAGUGAAUAAAUACAUUGUGUCUCGGGGCAUAUUCCUGGCUAAAUAAAUACAUUUGAAUUAAACACGAUAAACUAGAAACCAAACAUUCACACACACAUUAAACAUUCAAAACAUUUAAUAAACACAUCACUCCGAAGUUUUGCCUACCCAAACCGACAUUUGCCUAUCCAUUUCAACAUAUCAUAAUUCUAUCACAUUCCAACAAUAUUCAUGCUCAUUAUGAAUUAAACAAAACAACAAUAAACCAAAGUUAAUCUAAACUCAACUUUUUAUCAAUUUCUCAAUUCCAUCCCCAAAUAAUCAAUUUUAAUUCUCAAACGAGAUACCAUUUCACCAAACCAUAAUCAAGCAAACCAAUCACGAGUCAAAAUAAACACGCAUUCAUCACCAACAAGGACCAAAUAACAUGUAAUAUUCAAUCCAACACCAAAUAUAAUAAACAAUGAAAUAAAAAGAGAAAGAGAGUAAAAUUGGACCCCAAUUUGAAGCUUUCAAACUAAAUGUUAUUCGAAUAAACCGCACCCAAGAACCUCAAGCCAAACCUUAACACCAACAAUCCAACUCGAUAAUGUGAAAUAAUGACCCGUUCAUCGUCACUUUUCACCGGCACUGUUCACCAACACUGUUCACACCGUUAUUGUUCACUUUGUUACUGUUCACUCCGUUAUUGUUCACGUUGUUACUGUUCACUCCAUUGUUGUUCACGUUGUUACUAUUCACUCCAUUACUGUUCACGCUAUUAUUGUUCACCGGCACUGUUUACGUCGGAUUCCCAUUGUCCAGACCCUUUUUCUCUCUUUAUUUUUUUCUCUCGCGCGAUUCUCUCUUUCUCUCCCUCAUUGUUUUUUUGUUCUUGUGAGGAAGAUGAUUUGGUGAUUGUUGUUAUUGUGGAGAAGAAGAUGAUGAAAGAAUGAGUCUCCCUAUUUUCCCCUUUUAGAAUUUUCUUUUUAUAUUUUUUAUUUAAUUUUUCUUUUUCUUUAUUUAUUAUCCUAUGUGGAAGCAUAUAAUUGGUGGCUUGUGGGAAUAAGUGUGUGGCAUAUGGAAAAGUUAGUGUGGCAUGUGGAAAGAUGAGGGUGGCGUGUGGAAAAAUGAGUGGGGCGUGUGUCUUUUGCAUGUAUCCAAUGAGAAAUGGAAAGUGAAGUGUUGAGGUGGCAUAGUGAGGUGAUAAAGAUGCUAUGUAUUUAAUUAUUUUCAAUUUUUUUGGGGGGGGAUAAAUUAUCAAUUAAACAAAAGUAUGGUAGGGUGAAUAAGAUAAAAUAAAAAAAAUUAAAUUAAAAAAAUAAAAUAAAAAUAAUCAAAAUAUUUAUGGGAAAGGACAAAAUUACGUGUCUACAUCAUGCCCCCUUUGGAUGUAAACACAUGGUGUUUUCAUACGAAGCAGUAGACAACGAGACAGAAUUUUAUCCUGACCUUUAUUCAAAAGCACGGAGCACGAGGAAGGAGGGAAACCAGGUCAUGACUUAGGACAUCCUACCUACCCAAUUUAUGAGGGAAUCGAGUGACAGUUAUCUCAAAGGAUUGGAAGGAGAUGGACUAUGCCGAGUUAGAGAGUCGAGUGAGGUUCCAUCGAGGUUUCGGUCCGCGGCUCUGUUAUUACAUCAAAAAUGAAAAUUACAAGUUAAAAACAUAAAUGAAAUUACAAAAUCCUAUGUACGCAGCUUCUGUUGGACUCUUGACUUGAGUUUCAUCACCCUAUUCUUUAGGCGGGCUCCUGAUUUGAAAUUCCUUCAACUUGUUGCUUGGUUUUCAAUUUCAUCACCUGUUCUCCAGGUGGGCUCCUGACUUGAUAUUUUUGAUCUGUUGACUUUCAUUUUCUUCACUUUGUUACUUGACUUUCAACUUCUUCACCUUGUUGCUUGACUUUCAAUUUCUUCUCCUUGCUGCUUGACUUUUCAUUUAUUCUCACUGUGCUUCAGGCGGGCUCCUGAAAUCACAUUAAAACUAGAAAUAAAAUUAUCCCAAAUAAAAUUAUUGUAAAGAGAAAAUCGUUUGCCAAAAAAGUAAAGUUCCAAAACAGAUAUUAAAUUUUAUUUUUUUGCCCCAAUUUACCAUCAGAAGAUUUUUGAGAAAGUUAGAUCAUACCUACUUGCAUGUUGCAAUAAUGAAUCAAGACUCUGACCAAGAAAUGCAUUUCUUGAGAGUAAAAUUGAUUGACCAAGACUAGGAAGUGCGUUUCCUAAGAAUUAAAGUGAGGAAUUCUGACUAGAAAGUGCGUCAUCUAGAGAUAGAAUUUUAAAUUAAAAAGUGUGUCACCUGACAAAUGAAAACUAACAAGGAAGUGUGUCUCAUAAUGAUUAAGUGCAAUGACUCGACUAGAAAGUACAUUUUCUAGAAAUCAAGGAGAAUAACUCGACUAAAAGGUAUGUCUUAUAGGAAUCAAAAGAAAUAACUCGACUAAAAGGUACGUCUUAUAGGAAUCAAAGGGAGAUGGCUCGACUAAAAGGUACGUCUUAUAGGAAUCAAGAGGGAUGACUCGACUAAAAGGUAUGCCUUAUAGGAAUCAAGGGAUAUGACUCGACUAAAAGUUACGUCUUCUAGAGGUCAAGGGGAAUGACUCAACUAAAAAGUAUGUCUUAUAGAAAUCAAAGGGAGAUGACUCAACUAAGAGGUACGUCUUAUAGGAAUCAAGAGGGAUGACUCGACUAAAAGGUACGUCUUAUAGGAAUCAAGGGAGAUUAUUCGACUAAAAGGUACGUCUUACAGGAAUCAAAGGGAGAUGACCGACUAAAAGGUAUGUCUUAUAGAAAUCCAGGGAAAUAACUCGACUAAAAGGUACGCCUUGUAAGAAUCAAGGAGGAUGACUCGACUAAAAGGUGUGUCUUCUAGGGGUCAAGGGGGAUGACUCGACUAAAAGGUACGCCUUAUAGGAAUCAAGGGGGAUAACUCGACCAAAAGGUACAUCUUCUAGGAAUCAAGGGAGAUGAGUCGACUAAAAGGUACGUCUUAUAGGAAUCAAAGAGAGAUGACUCGACUAAAAGGUACGUCUUAUAGGAAUCCAGGGAAAUGACUUGACUAAAAGGUAUGCCUUGUAGGAAUCAAGGGGGAUGACUCGACUAAAAGGUACGUCUUCUAGGGGUCAAGGGAAUGAAUCAACUAAAAGAAAUGCCUUAUAGGAAUCAACAGGGAUGACUCGACUAAAAGGUACGUUUUCUAGGAAUCAAAGGGGAUGACUCGACUAAAAGGUACGCCUUAUAGGAAUAAGGGGGAUGAAUCGACUAAAAGGUACGUCUUAUAAGAAUCAAGGGGGAUGACUUGACUAAAAGGUACGUAUUCUAAGAGUCAAAGGGAAUGACUCGACUAGAAGGUACGUCUUCUAGGAUUCAAGGGGGAUGAAUCAACUAAAAGGUACGUCUUAUAGAAAUCAAGGGGGAUGACUCGACUAAAAGGUACGUCUUAUAAGAAUCAAGGGGGAUGACUUGACUAAAAGGUACGUAUUCUAAGAGUCAAAGGGAAUGACUCGAAUAGAAGGUACGUCUUCUAGGAGUGCAGGUUCAAUUUAAGAAGUGCAUCACCCAGCAAAUGAAAACUAAAAUCCCUGGACAGGAAAGUGUGUCUCCGAGGGAUAUAAGAUGAUGAAUUUUUACCAUGAUUUAAUUAUCAAACAAGUGCAGCAACAUUGCUUCCUGCAUUUGUAAAAGCGAGAAAUUAGGGGCCUUGAUGUUUAGGCUUUGAAAUCCUUGAUUUAAAGGUAACAUGUGUUCCUGUUUCAUCAAAUAAAACUUGUGAGUUUAAAACAUGGUGGUUGAUUUGUGUCUUUAGCUUUCGUGGCGAUCACUCUUGCCCUCGACACAUUUAACCUUGCUUCCAACCAUUAGCAUAUAUCAUUGACUUGCUGAAUCAUUGACCCGAGCUCAGCUUAUUAAGAGUGACUAAAACAAACACAGUAUCUCUGCUUUGCCAUGCUUCUCAGAUAGACCCUUUGAACCUUGGUAUUUCCAUGAGUUCCCUGACUUCUCUGUUGACAAAACUUUCUGCAUUCCCUCUUUUGGCUCACAAUCAUGUCUCUUUCAUGUGCUAGCUUUUGUCUUACUUUGUCCAAUUAAAGAAGCUGGUAGCUAGUUUUAAAAUCUUUUCUCACUUCUUUUGACACGGACUAGACUUAAAGACGAGAAAAAUAAUGACAAUGGUUAAUAUUUGGAUAAUUGACUCAAUAAAAUAAAAAUAAAAAAUAAAUAAAAGACAAUGAAUGUCCUUAUUUGAAACAAACAAGUAAAAAUUUAUCUAAAAAUGACAGUCAACUCUAAUGAUUAUGCCAUGAAUUUUGGAUUAAGUUGCCUGAUCUUUUCAUCCAAAUUUUCUGCCAAUUGUUCUUGAGUUAACUGGGCUUGAAACUGAGUUGUUUCCUUAGAUCAACUGCAUUUAUGACCCCAUUCGGCUAGUGGCGCGUUGAAGGGUUUUCGCCAAAAAGCUUCUCUUAUUUUUUUUUAUCACCUCACCAUUGCCUUAUGGUAUCCGAGAGGAUUUUUCACCAAUAAGAUUCUCUUAUUUUCAUUUCUCUUAACUCACAGUCGUCUUACAGUGCCUGUAAGGGUUUUCACCGACAAGACUCUCUCAUUUUAAUCUCUCUCAACUUACCAUCAUCUUACGGUGCCCGUGAGGGUUUUCACUAAUAAGAUGCUCUCAUUUUUAUUUCUCUCCUAAUUUCAUGAGGAAGAUGAGUAGUUCCCAAUGUUAUCAUAUCCAUAGCAUGCUUAGCCUUAACAUUCUCAAAAAUUGAUCCGAAGGUCUUUCUUUGGUUGUAACUUGGCUUUUGGAUAGGGUUGGAAAGAAAGGAUGACAUGGGGCCCAAACGAUACUAAAAGUGGGGUAAGACUUACAACUUUUAGAAUCAACUCAAACAAUGAGGAUUAACUCAUGCCCCAGUUUCUUUUGACUGGGAAAUUCUAAAUUUUAUUUGGUUGGACCUAGCCCAGAGUAGGGCAGCCUACGUAUCUCACCCCCAAAAGAGGAGAAUCAGGUCACGCGUAGUUCCGGCGGCUUGUUCUUUUGCUUGAUUCUGAUUUUUUCUUUUUUUUUUCUUUUGUUGACUCUUUUAUUGACUUUUUUUGUCUUUUUGGGACCUUCUGACUCUAUUUUUUCUUGACGCACUUUUCUUUUCCUUCUUUUGGACACAUUUUUUCUCUCAUUUCUUUUUGAAACUUUCUGACUCUAUUGUUUUACUCGAAACUUUUCUUUUGAGCUUUACUGACCCUAUCUUGAUUCCAAAAGAGGGGUAUGAAAGAAAAUCAGACUAAAGCUCAAAUGGGGUUAACAAAGGAUGACACGAUGUUUGGAUAGCAGAAUGAAAUGCCUUCGUCAUAUCAAUUCUUGAAAAUGCAAGUACAUAUCAUGCAAUAUGAAAGUAAGAGAUGAAGAUCAUUUGUGAUUUUUUUACAAUCAAUUCUUGAAAAUGCAAGUACAUAUCAUGCAAUAUGAAAGUAAGAGAUAAAGAUCAUUUGUAAUUUUUUUACAACACUAUUUUUAACUGAGACUGUGCGUCGCUACUUCUUCUGCAAACUCCAUCUUUGUUGUACAUUACUCAUGCUUUCGUGGAGCUAAUUUUUCUAUUCCUUUUGAUAUAGGAUCACACAUCCACUAUUUAACCUAAUUGAGACAUGUCUUUCAAAUGCUGACCAAGUUAUUCUCACGAUUCUCAAAAUAAUUGCCUUAAUUUUCAAAGAAGGCUUCAACUUGAUCACCAAAUGCCCCAGCACUCUAUCUAUUUUCUCAGACGCUUUUUUUUUCUAACUUUAACCCUCUGAUUUAAUGCUCAUGCUUAAACUGGAUUUUAAGAUCUGGUUGAAAAUUUCACUAGCAUGUCAUAUCACUAGAGUCAAAUAAAAUGUACUAUGUAAAGAAAACAAACAAACAACACAUAUUUAAAUCACAAAUGAAAAUGGGACACUUCAUUUAGUUGAAACAAAAAAUAGAAGGGUUUGAACAUAAAUGACAAAAGGACAAAACAAGAUAGAUCCCGAACUACAACCCUGAAAUAAUUCGGAUAACAGAAAAUAAAACAAAAUAAACUACCAGACCUUUUCCUAGUAGGGAGGGGUGACUUUUCAAUUGCUCAGCCUGACAUCUUAGCCAUUGGUUUGCAUAUCAGCAUGACUAGAGCUUUUCUUACUGUCAAUGUUCUACACCAUAAUUGAUUUAUCUUGAAUCAUUUUUUUAAUUUCUCUUUCAAAGCACGACAAUCUUCAAUACUGCGACCCUGAACAUCAGAAUGAUAUGCACAUCGUACAUUAGGAUCAAAACUUCUUGCAUGUGGGUCAGGAGUAUACCCAAGGAGAGAAGUAAUCAUGCCUUGUUGUACCAAUAUCUAGAAUAAAUUGGCAUAGGAUUUCCCAAUAAGAGUGAAAUUGUCUUUUUCCUUCUUCCUCUUUGCGAACUUUAGCCUCAGAUGAAACUUGACUUUAGAGGUUCCUUGGAAAAUUUGUGGGGGUCGAGGACGAUGUUGAGGGACAGGUGCAUGCCAUUGUGGAUAAGAAGAUAGAUGAGUAUACAAUUAUGCAUUGUUCAAAGGAUAUUGAGGAAGUGGAAUGGGAUUUCUUGGAUUUUGGGGAAAGAAACCUUGUUGCAAGUGGUUAUGUGGAUCUAAUAUGUAAGAUCGGGAUUGAGGCUGACAGUAUUGGUGGGUUGGACCUCUUUAACUCUGCUUUGGCCCUGGCAUGACAAUAGGUGUAUUUUCCUUCUUCUUUCCUUUAGGUUCCCUUGGUUGAUUGCAAUGUCGUCCCAAAUGUUUCACAGAAUCCUUCUGUCCAUCAGGCUCCCCAAAUUUUGAUGUCUGAAAGCUGGAAGGAAGGUUAACACUUGAAGACAUGCCUCAAUUUUUAUCUGAAACAUCUUCGUAGCCAAUAAGUCCAGGGGAAUUUUUCAUAUCAUUUUUUACACUCUUAACUUUCCCAACCACUUUCUCUAGCUCUUCUCGCAUGCUAGGCUUCUUAGUAAGAAAUUUUGGCAGUCCACUUAAUUUAACGGUAGGCUCAAGAGUAUAACAAUGAUCAUCAAGAGUAUUGAACGUGGAUUCACUAGUAGACUAGGGAAGCACAAUCGUUGGAUUGAUAGCCAAAGUAGAAGUCUUAGUAGAAGGUUGAGCAACAAAAGCACUGACUGUAUGUGGUGCUAUGAAUGUGGUUGACUUAUACUGAGGAGCUAAAGAAAGAGUGGUGGAAGUAUUGAGGUGCAUUUGACGUGGAAUGGAUUUUGAGGCAUGCUGUGGUGCAUCAACAACAGUUGGAAACUGACUUUGCAAUUUUGGUGGAAUACUCAAGGUAUUUGCAAGGUCAAAAGUGGGGAACGGAGGUGGAGGCAGCCCACUGGCCCAAACUCGGUACAUUUUCAUCAUUUGUUGUCUCAGUCUCAAAUUUCCUUCCUUUAAACUCUCAAUUUUCUGACUCUUUGUUUCAUACGUGGUGUCACUCUCUAUAUCCUUGUUGGACACAACUAAACCUUUCUUGGAUUUGCUGUGAUAUGGAGGACCAGCCAGGAAGCCACAAACCAACCACCUUAAACUAACUGAACAAGAGACAACAAAUAUGUUAGAGGUCAACAUUUUUCAAAACCUCUCUUUUUUUUUUUAAAAGAUCACCGAACCCAAGAAGGGCGCCUACGUAUCUCACUCCCGAGAGAGGAGAAUCAGGUGUGCAUAGUUCGUGAAGUCUUGCCAAAAUGGCCAAUUAAACUCUUUUCCUUUUUCUUUUUUUUUUCUUUAAAUUUUAAGAAGAAAAGAAAAAUGACAAAUUGUCAAAAGAAUAGACAACAUUUUUUUUUGAAAUUUUUAGUUUUAAUAACCUAUACAAAAUGAAACCUAUGAUUAUCAAAGAAACUCUUUUUUUGGGUUUUCAAUUUUGCAUUUCAUACGAAAAUGAAACUUGAACCUAUUAAAGGAAUUUUUUUUUGUAGUUUUCUUUUAUUGAUGCAUAGACACCUACUCUAAAUGAAGCGUGAAAAAAAUAUUUUUUUGAAUUUUUUGAAAUAAGAUCCCCGAACCAACAAUAGCCUUUCUACGUAUCUUACUCCGGAAAGAGGAGAAUCAGGGGUGCGUAGUUCGUCCAGAUUGGACAAUUAAGGAUUACUUAACAAACUACACCAAACUUGAGAGACACAACCAAAGACUAACGAUGAAAAAUGUCAAUAAAAUCUUUUUUGGAGUUUUCAGCUUGACACUUCAAAUAAAAAUGACACCAACAAUUAUAAAAUGAAAAAAAUCUUUUUGGUAUUUUCAUUACAAUGAAAUGUACAAAUUUCUACCAUUUUUUGCAUUUUCUUUUAUAAAAACUGCUAAAAAAUCUUUUUUAAAAAUUACGAAUUAUGAAUGCAUGCUAAAAGAGACAAAGUGAGAAAUUUUUUUUGAUGUUUUGAUUUUUGAACAAAUGAGUGCAGAAAAUAAAAAAUCUUUUUGAAUUUUUGAAUUGUGAAAAACAAAGGCCAUAAGGAACUCUAAAACUACAAAACUCUUUUUUUUUCUUUUCGACUCACUUUUCUUCCUUCUUUUUUUUUCAACAAUUUCUUGCCUACACACUUUGCUUCUAACUUAUGCUUUUGCCCAAAUCAAUCUGUCAAAUGAUCUCAUUACCCUCAAAGAUGCAACAUUUAGCAUGUAGGGAUGCCUUAGAGGUGAAUUUCCUACAAAGGACCAAGUGGGUCCUGCUAGGUCUCCAAUAUGAUACACCUAAGCAUGACCUAAAGGCCGACCUACGUUGGGGUUCACUAACAAGGCUGUUCGGGGGAGCGUAUGGUCGAUAGUGGCUUUUUUGCUUUCCACCUACUCCAUAACACCAACGGCUCNNNNNNNNNNNNNNNNNNNNNNNNNNNNNNNNNNNGUCGUCUAUAACACGUGUACUACGGACUUGUUGCAGAAAGAAUAACUCAGGUUAUACACAUGAUGCCAGAUAUAAAGCAGUAACACAUAAGAUAAAACUGUAAACAAAAAGCACGUAGACACUCAACAAUGAUAAACAAUAACACAAAACAACACAAACAAUGUCUAUACACCCAUAAUAUCAAACAAAGCUGAUACAACUCAAAAAAAUUAGCUCAAAUUCUGAAAAUCCCUAGCAGAGUCGCCAGAGCUGUCAUACCCCUUUUUCAACUCCAAAAGAAUUAUUUUUAUGGGCUUCGAAAGGGUUUUCAUUAUUAAAGUGACAAAAUGAAGAUAAUUUGUUUCGUAAAGGACCUUUUACAUUCAAAACUCAGAGCGCCACUUGGCAUAAUCUGGUGUGCCAAGUCACUAUUGGAAAAUCCUUUUCAAAACCAUUUGACUCUUUAAAAUGGUUUGCGAACAGAGAUUUCGGCUAAGGAAUUCUGUUGACCGAGGGGAAGGUGUUAGGCACCCCUCGAUCCCGUGGUUCGACCAUGGUCGCUUGGUGGAGCGUAUCGACUAAUUUUGACACUACGAAUGUACAAACCACACAAAACACGUAAAACAAUCAAACAAACAAACAAAACAAAACAAAAAAAUGAUUCAAAAGUACAGCGUCCUGUCCAAUUUUUACAGUCCAAAAUAGAAAAAUGCAAAAAUAAAUCUUAUCUAACCUACACUAAUACUAACUACGCUCCCGUGCUUUACCCGACGAUUCAGGCCUUCCUCACGAACGUCUUCCGCUAACAUAGUACGUCGGGGCAUUCCCCAGUGAAUAAAUACAUUGUGUCUCGGGGCAUUCCCCGGCUAACUAAAUACAUUUGAAUUAAACAUGAUAAACUAGAAACCAAACAUUCACACGCACAUUAAACAUUCAACACAUUUAAUAAACACAUCACUCCUAAGUUUUGCCUACCCAAACCGACAUUUGCCUAUCCAUUUCAACAUAUUAUAAUUCUAUCACAUUCCAACAAUAUUCAUGCUCAUUACGAAUUAAACAAAACAACAAUAAACCAAAGUUAAUCUAAAUUCAAUUUUUUAUCAAUUUCUCAAUUCCAUCCCCAAACAAUCAAUUUCAAUUCUCAAACGAGAUACCAUUUCACCAAAACAUAAUCAAGCAAACCAACCACGAGUCAAAAUAAACACGCAUUCAUCACCAACAAGGACCAAAUAACACGCAAUAUUCAAUCCAACAUCAAAUAUAAUAAAUAAUGAAAUAAAAAGAGAAACAGAGUAGAAUUGGACCUCAAUUUGAAGCUUUCAAACUCAAUGUAAUUCGAAUAAAGAGAGUCCGCACCCGAAAACCUCGAGCCGAACCUUAACACCAACAAUCCAACUCGACAAUGUGAAAUAAUGACCCAUUCACCGUCACUGUUCAUUGACAUUGUUCAUGUCGUUACUGUUCACGUCGUUAUUGUUCACUCCGUUACUGUUCACUUCAUUACUGUUCACUUCGUUACUGUUCACACUAUUACUGUUCACCAACACUGUUUACGCCGGAUUCCCAUUGUCCAGACCCUUUUUCUCUCUCAAUUUUUUUUCUCUUGCGCGAUUCUCUCUUUCUCUCCCUCAUUUUUUUUUUGUUCUUGUGAGAAAGAUGAUUUGGUGAUUGUUGUUAUUGUAGAGAAAAUGAUGAUGAAAGAAUGAGCCUCCCCCUUUUUCCCUUUUAGAAUUUUUCUUUUAUAUUUUUUAUUUGAUUUUUCUUUUCCUUUUUUUAUUAUCCUAUGUGGAAGCAUAUAAUUGGUGGCUUGUGGGAAUAAGUGUGUGGCAUGUGGGAAAGUUAGUGUGGCAUGUGGAAAGAUGAGGGUGGCGUGUGGAAAAAUGAGUAGGGCGUGUGCCUUUUGCAUGUAUCCAAUGAAAAAUGGCAAGUUAGGUGUUGAGGUGACAUAGUGAGGUGACAAAGAUGCUAUGUAUUUAAUUAUUUUCAAUUCUUUUUUUUUUGGGAGAAAUUAUCAAUUAAACAAAAGUACGGUAAGGUGAAUAAAAUAAAAAUUAAAAUUAAAAAUUAAAAAAAUAAAAUAAAAUAAAAAAGAUGAAAAUAUUUUCAGAAAAGGACAAAAUUACGUAUCUACAGACAUGACUCAAAAUAAAAGGUUUGAAGGUCGAAAAUUAUAUUAAGGUUGACAAGUAGCAGGCUAAAGUGUAUCUAUCUGUUCCUUUAUUAGUACUACUAGUCAAGCAUACGUGCGUUGCACGUGUGUUUCAUGUCAAGCCAUCAAUUAUAUAGAAACUACAACAAAAUAAUUGAUAAUUGAAAUAUUAGAACAAUACAAUUAAGUUUGAUCUUUGGUGAUUUGUAAACAACAUCUUUAAAGCUCAUCAAAAAACUAGUUAUAAAAAUAUUUGUUCCACCAAAUUUACCUUGUAAAUGCUUUUAUAUUAUUAUAGAAAGAAAGAGUCCUCAAUUUGUAGAAGUUCAAACUAUCGUCCAAAAAAAAUUAACUAAUAUGAAACAUUUUUAUCUGGGGUGCACUCAUAAAAUUUUUCUAAUAAUAUUAUAAUAUAAAAAUAAUAAAGAUACCCAAAUAUAGCAAAAAUCCUGCACGUCUGAACAAUAAUAUACUAUUAAUAUUUUUUAUUAUGUCAAAAAAAAAUAGAGGCCUAAUACUAUCAAAUUUUGAAGCAAAAAAAAUUUCGGGCUUUAGUUAUUUUCCUUGUUUUAAUUUAUUAAAAAAAAGGCUGCUAUUAAAUUUUGUUAUUUUAAUUUUGAUAAAAAUCAUCUUAUUUUUCUUUUUUUUCCUCUUAUUUUGUAUUUAGGAAUCCUUUCUCAAGUACACAAGAAGAAAAAAAAACUCAUCAAUAAUAAAUUUUCUUAUAUUUUUUCUUACCGUAUAUUUUAGGAUUUCUUUAUUUAUUAUAAAUAUAAUAAUAUAAUGAUUGAAUAAAAUAAGUGAAAAGACAAUUUUAUCUAUUGUGGAGAUUUUUAAUGAAGGGUAAAAAAUUCAAAUCACUUUUCUAAGGGUCUUUACACUUUUAUUAUAGUAUAGAUUAUAGAUAUAGAUAAUAAAUUAUAGAUAUAGAUAGAGAUUAUAGAUAUAGAUAUUGCGGAAAUUUUUAAUGAAGGGUAAAAAAUUUUAAUAUCUUCACAUUUUUAAUAUAUUAUUAUUAUUAUAGAUAUAGAUGCUUUCGAUUUUAUUACUACGGUUAUUUCUUUUACUAUGAUUAUAUUUAUAUUUGUACUUUUUAUAUUUUUCUUUCUUUAAUAUUUUCCUUAUGCAUAGUACUAUAUAAUUGGAUAAUUCUUAAUUUAGAUGUGAUAUUUUGUGGAUCAGAAUUUGUUGGGUCUUAGGACACGUUUGGUUCAUGUUAUAAUUAUAUUAUACUGUUUUUUUUAUAUAUAAGGGGGUUACAUAAAUUUUGUCUAUUUUAUCUAUCAAUUUUUUGUUUUUUCAGAUGAAUCAAAUUGCUCCACCUAACUAUUGUAUUGCCUUUUGUCUAUUUUAGCUUUUAUACUAAUUUUUUUUUUUAAAGAAAGUUCAAUGUGAGCCUCUGUCAUUGGUAUAUUGACGUUGCAGUAAUUUUGUGGGUCUUUUUUUUUUUUCACUUACUUUAGGUGGUCCUCUUUAGAUAGAUUUACUUUACGUGUUUUCAUAAAAAUUGAAUAUCUGCAUAUUUGACUUAAAAUAAAUUCAAAAUUUUUAUAUGAGCUGAAUUAGGCGGGUCAAAUGAAGUAUAGCACACAAAUAACUAUUAUAUUACCUUUUGUCUAUUUCAUCUUUUACACUAAAUUUCUUUUUUAAGAAAGUUCAUUCAAACGUGAACCUCUGUCAUUGAUAUAUUGACGCUGUAGUAAUUUUUGUGGGUCUUUUUUUUUUUCACUUACUUUAGAUGGUCUUCUUUGGAUAGAUUUACUUGAAGUGUUUUUAUCAAAAUCGGAUAUCUGUACACUUGACUUAAAGUAAAUUUAAAUUUUUUAUUAGAAUUGAUUUAGACGGAUCAAAUGGAGUAAAGCACACGAAUAACUAUUAUAUUGCCUUUUGUCUUUUUAGCUUUUACACUAAUUUUUUUUUUUUAAAAAAGUUCAUUCAAACGUGAGCCUCUAUCAUUGGUAUAUUGACGAUGUAGAAAUUUUUGUGUGUCUUUUUUCUUCGCUUACUUUAGAUGGUCCUCUUUGAAUAGAUUUACUUGAAGUGUUUUUAUCAAAAUCGGAUAACUGUACACUUGACUCAAAGUAAAUUUAAAUUUUUUAUUAGAAUUGAUUUAAACAGGUCAAAUGGAACAAAGCACACGAAUAAUUAUUAUAUUCCCUUUUUUCUUUUUUAGCUUUUACACUAAUUUUUUUUUUUUUUUAAGAAAGUUCAUUCAAACUUGAACCUCUAUCAUUGAUAUAUUUACAUUGCGGUCAUUUUUGUGGGUCAUUAUUUUCACUUAGUCUAAGUGAUCCUCUUUGAAUAGAUUUAUCAAAAUCUAAUAUUCAUGCACUUACUAUAAGUGGUAUAUAUAUUGACAUUGUAGUCAUUUUUGUGGGUCAUUUUUUUUUUUCACUUUUUCUAAGUGGUCCUCUUUGGAUAGAUUUAUUUUAGGUGUUUUUAUCAAAACCGAAUAUCUAUGCUUUAUCAAAAUCGAAUAUCUAUGCACUUACUCUAAGUGGUUUAUAUAUUGACAUCGUAAUCAUUUUUGUGGGUCUUUUUUUUUUCCACUUACUCUAUGUGGUGCUUUUUAAAUAGAUUUAUUUUAGGUGUUUUUAUUAAAAUCGAAUAAUUUAUGCACUUGACUUUAAAUAAAUUCAAAUUUUUUAUAUAUGCUGAAUUGGACGGGUCAAAUGGGACAAAGCACUCAAAUAACCUACUUUUGGGGUCAUCAUUUAACUUGUAUUCGUUUAUUAGAAUUUUUACAAGUUUAGCCACUUUAGAAAUAAUUUCAAAUGUACUUGACUGAAAUUAAAAAUUUGUGUCUGACUUCAGAAAUUUGUUUGAAGUUUUGCCGGCUUUAUGAGGAUGAAAUAUAAUUAAGAUAUUUUUGUCUGAAGUUUGGAAUGGCUUGUAAGGCUGAUUUCGUAUAUUUUUAAUAUAAGUUGUGGAUUUGACAAGGCCUAAUUCAGAUAUAUUUUAGCGAAGCCUUAUCUGGCUUGACAAGUCUUAACAUCAAUUUUUUUUUUUUUCUGAAGAUAUGGUCUUGACAAGGUCAACUUUUAGAUAUUUUUUAUUAAAGUUGUUAGGAGGGUGAAACUUCAAUCAUACAUGACUGAUGUGAAUGUUAAAAACUAAAAAUUAUUUAAAGUUAAACUUCAAUCGAGUAUAUCUAAAACUCUGAAUAUUUUUCUCAUUGGCGCUCUUCUAUUUAUGAAUUGGCGUGAUAUGCAAACGAAGAAAAUUGAAUUACAGAUGUGAAGGUAAAAUAGAAAGUACAGAUCUAACAAAUUUAAUAGUUUUAGUUCAAAUUUUAUAUUUUCGUUAUAUAUAUAUAUAUUAAUUUAAAACCUAAAAACUCCAAAGGUUUAGAAUCUAAAAUUCAUAAAAUUUCAAAUUUUGAAUUCUUUUUCUUUUAUUGAAGUCAUUGAUGACAUCAAGAAUAAUAAAAUAAAACGUGUCCUUUUAAGGUUUCUUUUUCACUUUUCCUUUCCAAAAAUGCUUGUUUAACAUCAACAUUUAUAUCUAGCUAUAUAUAUAUAUAUAUACAAGAACAUGCAUGUGUGAAGAAAAUUAAACAUUAUUAAUUAUCAUUAUUAUCCAAAAUGGCAACAUCAUUCCCUAUGAAUGCUGGUGAUGGUCCUUAUAGCUACUCAAAAAACUCCCAUUUGCAGGUAAUUGUUUCUACUUUUAAGGGAUCGUUUGGUAGAGUGCGUAAAAAUAGGGUUGAAUAUGGUGUAUUAGUAAUGUUGAUAUUAGUAAUAUCGAUGUUUCUUUAUUUGUGUAAUCGGGUAGAGGGUUAGGGGUGGGAGCGUUUCUUUAUUUGUGUUUGACGUUUCUUGUUCGUGGGUGUUGAGUGAUGUCUAUGUUUUCGGUUAGAUAGUCUUUUAGCAGUAUCUAGUGGCUGUUGUGUUACCUUGUGGAUACCGGUGUUAGUUUAUUUUGCAUAUUCUACUAAUCUAUACGCAUUUAUAUUUUGUGAUUUGCUAUACUGUUAUCGGUCCUAAGCCGGAGGUCUAUCGGAAACAGCCUCUCUACUUCUUCGAAGGUAGUGGUAUGGUCUGCGUACACUCUACCCUCCCUAGACCCUACUAUGUGGGAAUAAACUGGAUAUGUUGUUGUAGUAUGCACUGUUUGGUUCGGAAUAUUAAAAGUAACAUACAUUGUAUAGGUAUAAUAUAUGAACGUGUCCUUUAACUUGACUUCAACAGGGAUAAUCUAACACCAUCCAACUUUGGGUAUGCACAAGUAGACACUUAGGGGUCGUUCGGUGGGAGGGAUAAGGAUAAAUAAUCUCUCGAUUAAUUUAGAAGAGGAGCUUAUUCCAUGUUUGGUUGGGACAAAAUACAUGGGCGUUAACUCAUCCCAGGAUUAAUCAUCCCGAUAUUGUAAUGUUUUUUCUUAUUCCUUCAUGAGGAUGGGAUAACUAAUUUCGGGAUUAGUAAUCCAGGGAUAACUUGUUUUCCAACCAAACGACCCCUUAAAGUUGUAGGCACAAUUAAAAAAGUACCCCAAACAAGGUAUUAAUAUACCCAUAGCUGAUGAAUGCAGGAUUUUUUUCUAAUGCAUCCGACCAAACGAUCCCUAAGUAUUUACUCUAAAUACUUAUCUUUUCCAUAGAUCCCAAACUCAAGAUAAAAGUAUUUGAAAAAAAAAGAGCAAACAACAUAAAUCCCGACAGUUUUGAGCUUAAUUACAGAAAAUUCUAACAUUUUACAUAAUUACUGAAAAUUCUGAUUUUGAGUCUUUCAAGAUACAUAAUUAGCUCCUGAUACAUCUAACGAAAAUACAUUUUUUUUACUUUGUAAAGAUACAUAAUUAGCUUCAGAUACUUUUUUUUUUUCAAUUUUGAAUCUGUCAACAUACAUAAUUAGUUCUCUGAUACAUUCAACGAACAUACAUAAUUAGUUGAGAUUUUUUGUAAUUACUUUAUAAAGAUGAAAAAUUGUGUAAAUAUGAUAAGUUAAAGGUGUAUAUAUCUUUUGGUAUACCUCAUCUAGUAUACAUGCAUAACUUUAUACCGAAAAAUAAUUUUUGGUGUCAUACUAAAGUAACUGAACUUUUUCAUCUAUAAUAAUAGAAUCACUAAACUUUACUGUCAAAUGUGACUUUACUGUUAUAAUUGCAUGCAGAAAGAACUGUUAGAUAGUGCAAAAGACAUCAAAAUCAUGUCUUCUUCUUCAAAUACAUUACACAUUGCAGAUUUGGGAUGUUCAGUUGGACCAAACACUUUCAUUGCAAUGCAACAUGUUGUACAAGUUCUAAGAGCUGUUUUAGAAGUACUUUUCGUCAAUCAUUUUGGAAGUGAAAUAGCAGAAGAAGCUUUUACAAGGACGAUUCUCAAAAGUGAUGAAAUUUCAAUAUGGAUGAAAACGAAUUACCAGAAAGCAUGUCAGUUAUUUGUCGCUUUGAAGCGUAAAUAAGUUUCUGUGAAGAAAUCUAUAUAGUAUAUAAUUUCAGGUCUAUUGAGUGAUGUGACACGUUUCAUAGACAGAAAUUAUUAUUUGUGUGUUUUCUAAUAUUUUUGACCUUUUCAUCGUAUCUUUCACUUAAUGUGUUCUACAAAGAAAAUUGAAAAGUUUAUUUAUUAAUGUUUUAGAUAUCCUUAGCAGUUUAGUUUUAUUAACCCAUUUUACUCCAAUUGUCAAUAUAUGAUAUAAUUCAGGUCUAUGGAGAGAUAAUUAUGGCAAGUUUCACCAACAUGGGUUGUGGUGCAGUGGAUGAGGCUGCUCUACCCUUAACCAGAGGUCGAGGGUUCGACCCUGGGUAUGGAGAAAACUCUGUUGGGAGCGCUGCCACCUUAAUGUGCCCUUCAACGCACGAUCCAAAUUAGUCGAGGCUCCAAUGGAGGCACCAAACAUCGGAUGGGAAACCAAAAAAAAAACUAUGGCACGUUUCAUAUGUCUCGAAUAUCAAAAAAUAGAUAAAUAAAAAUAUUUCAAUAACGAAAUUCUAGAACAUAAAAUAAUAUUAUCAAAUUGGACAAAUAUUAUUGCGCAUUUUUAUUUUUAAUAACAUAAAUAAGUAAAUAUGAACGGACAGAAUAACAUAAUUAAUUGGGCCAAUGCUUGCCAAUAUUUCUAUAAAAUCAACAUUGAUUGGGACGAUUAAACACAUACAUAUAUAGAAACUAUAUUAUUGAGGUACCUUUUGCCACUAUAUUAUUUCUAUAAUAUAUAUAAGAGGGAGGUUGGGUGCUGAAGCAGAUCGACAUGCCUGCUUCAGCAGUCAGCUUCAGCUGCUUCAACCGUGUUUUUAUAAAUAAUUCUCUUAUUUAUAAGAGGCAGUUGAGCAGCUGAAGCAGGCAGGAGGUCGAUAUGCCUACUUCAGCUGCUUCACCUGUAAUUUUACUAUAUCACCCCUCAAUUAAUUAUUAUAAAUUAUCUAUGUAUUAAAAAAUUAAUAAUAUUUAAUAAAAAAUUAAAAUAGACAUUUAUGAUAUAUCUGCUUCAGCCGGUUCUGUCACACCCCUUUUUUAACCGAAAAAAAGAUUAUGUAUUGGGUUCGAAAGGGUUUUUAUUAUUAAGUGACAAAAGAAAACAAUUUGUUUCGAAGAAGGAUUGUUUUUACAUUUGAAAUCAGAGUCUCCACUUGGCAUAAUCUGGUGUGCCAAGUCACCAUUGGAAAGUCCUUUUCAAAACCAUUUGACUCUUUAAACUGGUUUGCGAACAGAGAUUCCGGCUAAGGAAUUCUGUUGACCAAGGGGAAGGUGUUAGGCACCCCUCGAUCCCGUGGUUCAACCAUGGUCGCUUGGUGGAACAUAUCGACUAAUUCGACGCUAAGAGUGUAUAAACCACACAAAAACAUACAAACCAAUCAAUCAAACAAACAAACAAACAAACAAACAAAUCCAAAAUUAUAGUGUUCAGUCCAAUUAUUACAAUCCAAAAAUAGAAAAAUACGAAAAAUAUAAAUCCUAUUCUAAGCUAGUCCUAGACUAAGCUCCAAUGUUUCACCCGAUGCCUCGGGCCUUGAUCGAUAUCCGCCUUCGCCAACAUGAUACGUCGGGGCAUUCCCCUGUGAAUAAAUACAUCAAUCUUCGGGGCAUUCUCCGGCCAAAUUAAUACACUUCAAUCCAAAAACAUAAACCAACACAUUUCAACAAAACACCCUCAAGUUUCAACGAUCGCAAGUCAUAAACUUUGCCUAACCCACUUAUAUUUGCCUAUCAAUGGUCGACCUAAACAUGAUACUACCAUUUUUCAACAACAUCUAUGCUUAUUCCGAACUAGACUACAUAUCACGUUCAAUGUCAACGAUUAAUUAAAACAACAAUAUUCAUUUUUAUCAACUUUCAAUUCCCGUUUUGCCCAAUUCCAUUGUCAAACUAGCUAACCAACUCUUCGACUAUCAAAUCCAACAUCAACCACGUACACACAACAAAGAUUCAAAUAUGCUAACCAAACAAGUUAUUCACACCCAUAACAAACAACUAAAAUUCAAAAAUAGAAUAGAGAAUGAGAUGAGAAAUGGACCUCAAUGCUUUAUUGAUUAACUGAUCUUUCCGAAUAGAACCGCGUCCAACGGAACUCAACGUCGAACCUCAAAACGACGGAACCGCAUCUCGGACUAGCCUCGGUAUGAACCCACAACUUGAACAAAAAUCCAAACCAGAGUCGAAUGCCGACCACCAGAAUCCAAACCCAAUUUCCGGUAGAAAACUGAAAACGCGUAUAAAAUUGAACCCUGAUGAGCUACCAGCUAGAUUUCAUCCAGAAAUCAAGAAGACCGAGAAGAUCUAGGGAAUUUUAGGAUGGAUCAGGCCGAGACGAUAAGCUUGACGUCAAUUUCAGUGAGAUUUCACCGAAAUCCAAAGAGAAACGAUCGAACGAGGAAUGGAAAACUAAUUCCGACGAGCUAAGUCGCCGAAACAGUGACCAACGACUUGAAAUCUUCACUCUCUCUCUUGAUUUUUCACCCUCUCUACUUGAUCAAUCCCUUACCCCACUGUAUCUUGCGAAAAAAAUAAAGAACAGAAGAAAAGAAAUGGUAUUUUUCUCUUUCUCGUUCUCUCUCUGCUACUCUCUCUCUUAUCGAUCUAUUCUCUUUUCUCUGUGUUUGUGUCUAUGAGAUGCUGUGAGGUGUGUGGUCCUUGUGGGAGUAAUGAUGGGUUUGCGAUGGAGAAGAAAAGGAGAGGAUAAUCUGCUCUCAAAAAUGGCAUUUUUGAAGCCAGACCCAGGAAGGAAAAAAAUAGUUCUUUUCGGGAGUUAAAGAAUGAUGAUAAUGGGUGUGAUUAUCAUCCCGUGGAUGUUCUAUUGUAUGAAUUCUAUGCAUUCUCCAUGGAUGAAUCCAAAAUGGAAUCCCUGUGUGCAUUGUAUAUAAUGAAAAAAAGAAUUCCCCCUUCUAUUCUGGGUGUGUAUGGAAUAUAUGUAUAUUGUGUAGGUGAUGUGUAAAUGAUGGUCAAGAAGAUAUAACGUAGGGCCCUCCAUUUUUGUUGUUUUCUUCUCCAAGGGAUAAAAAAUGUGAGUGGGUAGUGAGGUGGAAGCUUUUGAUUGGGUAGGUUGUUAGGAUAAGAUAAAUUAGUUAGAGGUAUUUUUUUUGUUUAUUUUUAUAUUUUUAUGGGAUAUAAUUACAUGGGGUUGGAAACAUGGUAAGGUGAACUAAAAAUGAAUAAAAUUAGACUUCGGGAGGGAUAAAAUUAGGUGUCUACAUCAUGCCCCUUUUGAAUGUAAACACGAACUGUUUUCAGACAAAGAAGUAUACAGCGAGAUCAAAUUUUGACCCGACCAUUAUCCAAAGAAAGAAACAAAAGGAAGAAGGACAACCGGGUCUUGACUUAAGACAUCCUACCUACCCAAGUUAUGAGAGAAUCAAGUCACGGGUAUUUCAUAAGAUUGGAAAGAGAUGGACUAUACCAAGUUGGAGAGUCGAGUGAGGUUCCAUCGAGGUUCUGGUCCACGGCUCUGUCAUUACAUUAAAAAUGAAAAUUACAAGUUAAAGCAUAAAUGAAAUUACAAAAAUCCUAUUUCAUUAACUUAUUGCCAUGCUUUCAACUUCUUCACCCUGUUCUGCAAGCGGGCUCCUGACUUGCUAUUUUUCAAUCUGUUUAACUUUCAAUUUCUUCACCUUGUUGCUUAAUUUUUCAUUUAUUCGCUCUGUGCUUCGGGCAGGCUCCUGAAAUCACAUCAAAACUAAAAAGAAAAUUAUCCCAAACAAAUAUUAUUAUAAAGAGAAAUUCCGUUUGCCAGAAAACUAAAGUUUCAAAAACAGAAAUUAAAUUUUUUUUUCCAAGUUUAUCAUCAGAAGACUUUUGGAAAAGUCACAUCAUACUUACUUGCAUGUUACAAUGAUAAAUCAAGACUCUGACCAAGAAAUGCAUCGCUUGAGAGUAAAAUUGAAUAACCAAGACUAGGAAGUGCGUCUCCUAAGAAUUAAAGUGAGGGAUUCUAACUAGAAAGUGCGUCUUCUAGAGAUACAAGUUUAAGUUAAAAAGUGUGCCACCUGACAAAUGAAAACUAGCAAAAAAGUGCAUCUCCAAAGGAUUAAGUGCAAUAAAUUGACUAGAAAGUUCAUUUUCUAGAAAUCAAGGGGACUGCUAGGAAGUGCAUUACGCAAAAGCAAAGUUCGAAUUACCCGAUCAAAGAAAUGUAUCUCCUUACCAAUGUUGCUUGAAUAAUCAAAAUAAGGAAGUGCAUCUCCUUACCAAUGCCACUUGAAUUACCAAACCAAGGAAGUGCGUCUCUUUACCAAUGCCACUUGAAUUACUCAAACAAGGAAGUGCGUCUUCUCACAAAUGUUUCUUGAAUUAACCAAACAAGGAAGUGCAUCUCCUUACAAAUGUUGCUUAAAUUGCCCAAGGAAGGAAGUGUGUCUCCAAUGUUGCUUGAAUUACCAAAACAAGAAAGUGCGUCUCCUUUGGAAGUGUGUCUCCUUACGAUAGCGCUUGAAUUACCAAAAUAAGGAAGUGUGUCUCUUUACAAAUGUUGCUUGAAUUGUCCAAACAAGGAAGUGCAUCCCCUUGCAAAUGUUGCUGGAAUUACCCAAACAAGAAAGCGCGUCUCCUCACAAAUGUUGCUGGAAUUACCAAACAAGGAAGUGUGUCUCCUUACAAAUGUCAAUCAAAUUACCAAACAAGGAAGUGAGUCUCCUUACAAAUGUUGCUUAAAUUAUCAAACAAGAAAGUGCGUCUCCUUACAAAUGUUGCUUAAAUUAUCAAAACAAGGAAGUGCAUCUCCUUACCAAUACCGCUUGAAUUACCAAACCAAGGAAGUGCGUCUCCUUACCAAUGCCGCUUGAAUUAUUCAAACAACGAAGUGCGUCUCCUCACAAAUAUUUUUUGAAUUAACCAAACAAGGAAGUGCAUCUCCUUACAAAUGUUGCUUGAAUUGUCCAAACAAGGAAGUGCGUCCCCUUACAAAUGUUGCUGGAAUUACCCAAACAAGGAAGUGCGUCUCCUAACAAAUGUUACUGGAAUUACCCGAACAAGGAAGUGCGUCUCCUUACAAAUGUCAAUCAAAUUACCAAACAAGGAAGUGCAUCUCCUUACAAAUGUUGCUUGAAUUGUCCAAACAAGGAAGUGCGUCCCCUUACAAAUGUUGCUGGAAUUACCCAAACAAGGAAGUGCGUCUCCUAACAAAUGUUACUGGAAUUACCCGAACAAGGAAGUGCGUCUCCUUACAAAUGUCAAUCAAAUUACCAAACAAGGAAGUGCAUCUCCUUAUAAAUGUUGCUUGAAUUUUCCACACAAGGAAGUGCAUCUCCUUACAAAUACCGCUUGAAUUACCAAACAAGAAAGUGUGUUUCCUCACAAAUGUUGCUGGAUUUACCAAAUAAGGAAGUGCGUUUCCUUACAAAUAUUGCUGGAAUUACCCAAACAAGGAAGUGCGUCUCUUUACAAAUGUUGCUAGAAUUACCAAAACAAGAAAAUGUGUCUCCUUACAAAUGUCGCUUGAAUUACCAUGAGUUUGAAUACCAAAUAUGUGCAGCAACAUUACCUCUUGCAUUUGUAGAAGUGAGAAUAUUACGGCCCUUGAUAUUUAGGCUUUGAAAUCCUUGAUUCGAAGGUAGCAUGUGUUCCUAUUUCAUACAAAGAAAACUUGUUAGUUUAAAAAUAUGGUGGUUGGUUUGUGGCUUAGCUUUCACGGCAAUCGCUUUUGCCCCCUUCACAUUUAACCUUGCUUCCAACCAUUAACAUAGGAUGUUGACUUACUGUAUCAUUGACCCAAACUCAAAUUAUUAAGAGUGACUCUGAAACAAACACAGUAUCUCUGCUUUGCCAUGCUCCUCAAAUAAACCCUUUGAAUCUUAGUAUUUUCAUAAAUUCCCAGACUUGUUUGUUGACAAAAUUUGUAUGCCUUAUUUAGGCUAACAAUCAUGUCUCUUUUAUGUGCUGACUUUUGUCUUGCUUUGUGCAAUUGGAGAAGCUGGUAGCAGUUUUGAAAUAUUUCCUCACUUGUUUUGAUAAGAACUUGACUCAAAGACAAGAAAAAAAAUGACAGUGAUUUUUAUUUGGACAACUGACCCAAGAAAAAUAAAAAUAAAAAUAUAAAGAAGAAAGAAAAGACAAUGAAUGUCCCCAUUUGAAACAAAGAAAUUAAAAAUUUAUCUAAAAAUGACUGUCAACUCUAAUGAUUAUGCCAUGCAUGUUGAAUUAAUCUGCCUGAUCUUUCCAUCCACACCUUCCACCAGUUGUUGUUGGGUUAAUGGUCUUGAAACUGAGUUGUUUCCUUGGGCCAAUUACAUUCGGAGACCUCAUUCGGCUAGUGGCACCUUGAAGGGUUUUCACCAACAAACCUCUCUUAUUUUUCUCUCAUCUCGCCAUCGUCUUAUGGUGCCCGUGAGGGUUUUCACCAAUAAGACUCUCUCAUUUUUAUUUCUCUCAACUUACCAUCGCCUUACGGUGCCCGUGAGAGUUUUCACCAAUAAGACUCUCACUUUUAUUUCUCUCUUAAUUCCUUGUGCUGAGGAAGACAGGUAGUUCCCAAAUACAUCAUCAUAUCUCUUGCAUGCUUUGCCUUAACAUCCCUAAAGAUUGAUCUGAAGGUCUUUCUUUGGUUGUAACUUGNNNNNNNNNNNNNNNNNNNNNNNNNNNNNNNNNNNNNNNNNNNNNNNNNNNNNNNNNNNNNNNNNNNNNNNNNNNNNNNNNNNNNNNNNNNNNNNNNNNNNNNNNNNNNNNNNNNNNUUUUAUUCGCUCUUUUCACUUUGCGAUUCUUUUUUUCUAACUCUAUUUUUCUUGACACUUUUUUUUGAAACAUUUUUGUCUCUUUUUUGUAACUUUUUUACUUUAUCUUUUUACUCGACACUAUUCUUUAAACUUUGCUUACUCUAUCUUGACAUGAAAGAAAAUAACACUAAGGCUCAAAUGGGGUAAACAAAGGAUGACACAAUGUUUGGAUAGCAGAAUGAAAUGCCUUCAUCGUAUCAAUCCUUGAGAAUGCAAGUACAUAACAUGCAAUUGGAAGUGAGAGAUGAAGAUCAUUUUCGACAUCUUUUCAAGAAGAUUGAGUCUGUGCGUCACUACUUUUUCUGUAAACUCCACCUUUGUUGUACAUUCCUCACAUCAAAUGACUCAUGCUUUUGUGGAGCUGCUUAUCUUCUUGCUUCUCUUGAUAUAGUGAUCACACGUCCACUAUUUGACCUAAUUGGGACUUGCCUUUCGAUCGAUGACCAAGUUGUUCUUGUGAUUCUCAAAAUAAUUGCCUUAACUUGUCACCAAAUGUCUCAGCACUCUAUCUAUUGUCUCAUAUGCUCUCUUUUUCUAACUUUAACCCUCUGAUUCAAUGUUCAUGCUUAAACUGGAUUUUAAGAUCUGGCUGAAACUUUCACUAGCAUGUCAUAUCACUAGAGUUAACAUAAAAUGUAUAUGUAAAGAAAACAAACAAACAAACAACACAUAUUUAAAACACAAAGAAAAAUAAGACACUUCAUUUAGUCGAAACAAAAGAUAGAAGGGUUUGAACAUAAUCAACAAAAGGACAAAACAAGAUAGAUCCCGAACUACAAACCUGAAAUAAUUCAGACAACAGAAAAAUAAAACAAAACAAGCUACUAGACCCCUUCCUGGUAAGGAGAUGGGUGAUUUCUCAAUUGCUCAGCCUGACAAAUUAGCCACUGAUUGGCAUAUCAGAGUGACUAGAGCUUCCCUCACUUUUCAGGUUUUGCACCAUAAUUGAUCCAUCUUGAAUCAUCUUUUCAAUUUCUCUUUUCAAAUCUAGACAAUCUUCAAUACUAUGACCCUGAGCAUCAGAAUGAUACGCACAACAUGCAUUAGGAUCAAAAUUUCUUGAACGCCGAUUAAGAGUGUGCCCAAGGAGAGGAGUAAUCAUGCCCCUAUGUCUCAAUCUCUGGAACAGACACGCAUAAGAUUCCCCAAUAGGAGUAAAAUUAUCAUUUUCCUUUCUCAUCAUUGCGAACUCUGGCCUUGGAUGAAACGUGGAUUUAGAGGUUCCUUGGUAAAUUUGUGGGGGUUGAGGAUAAUGUUGAGGGACAGGUGCAUACAUACCAUUGUGGAUAAGAAGACGGAUGGGUAAACAAUUGUGCAUUAUUCAAAGGACAUUGAGGAAGUGGAAUGNNNNNNNNNNNNNNNNNNNNNNNNNNNNNNNNNNNNNNNNNNNNNNNNNNNNNNNNNNNNNNNNNNNNNNNNNNNNNNNNNNNNNNNNNNNNNNNNNNNNNNNNNNNNNNNNNNNNNNNNNNNNNNNNNNNNNNNNNNNNNNNNNNNNNNNNNNNNNNNNNNNNNNNNNNNNNNNNNNNNNNNNNNNNNNNNNNNNNNNNNNNNNNNNNNNNNNNNNNNNNNNNNNNNNNNNNNNNNNNNNNNNNNNNNNNNNNNNNNNNNNNNNNNNNNNNNNNNNNNNNNNNNNNNNNNNNNNNNNNNNNNNNNNNNNNNNNNNNNNNNNNNNNNNNNNNNNNNNNNNNNNNNNNNNNNNNNNNNNNNNNNNNNNNNNNNNNNNNNNNNNNNNNNNNNNNNNNNNNNNNNNNNNNNNNNNNNNNNNNNNNNNNNNNNNNNNNNNNNNNNNNNNNNNNNNNNNNNNNNNNNNNNNNNNNNNNNNNNNNNNNNNNNNNNNNNNNNNNNNNNNNNNNNNNNNNNNNNNNNNNNNNNNNNNNNNNNNNNNNNNNNNNNNNNNNNNNNNNNNNNNNNNNNNNNNNNNNNNNNNNNNNNNNNNNNNNNNNNNNNNNNNNNNNNNNNNNNNNNNNNNNNNNNNNNNNNNNNNNNNNNNNNNNNNNNNNNNNNNNNNNNNNNNNNNNNNNNNNNNNNNNNNNNNNNNNNNNNNNNNNNNNNNNNNNNNNNNNNNNNNNNNNNNNNNNNNNNNNNNNNNNNNNNNNNNNNNNNNNNNNNNNNNNNNNNNNNNNNNNUGAACAAGAGGUAACAAAUAUGUUAGAGUUCAACAUUUUUUCUUCAAAACCUUUUUUUUUUUAGAAAAGAUCACAGAACCCAAGAAGGGCACCUACGUAUCUCACUCUCGAGAGAGGAGAAUCAGGUGUGCAUAGUUCGUGAAGUCUUGCCAAAAUAGCCAAUUAAACUCUUUUUCCUUUUCUUCUUUUACUCUUUUUUUUUUAAACUUUGAGAAGAGAAAAUAACAAAUUGUCAAAAGAAUUGACAAUAAUCUUUUUGAAUUUUUCAACUUUAACAUCUCUAUACAAUAUGAAACCUACGAUUACCAAAGAAAAAUCUUUUUGUAGUUUUCUCUUGAAGAUGUAUAUGAAACACCUACUCUAAAUGAAGAGUGAAUAAUUUUUUUUUUUUUGAAAUAACCCGAACCAACAAUAGGUUGCCUACGUAUCUCGCAUCCCGAAAGAGGAGAAUCAGGGGUGCGUAGUUCGUCCAGAUCGGACAAUUAAUGAUUAAAUAAUAGGCUAGACUCUGCCUUAAGAGAUACGACCAAAGACAGACGAUGAACCAUGUUAAUAAAAUCUUUUGAGUUUUCAUUUUGAUACUUCACAGAAAAAUGACAUCAACAACUAUGAAAGAAAAAUCUUUUUGGUAUUUUCGUUAUACAAAAUGUAAAAAAUUUCUAUUAUACAAAAUGUAAAAAAUUUCUAACAUCUUUUUUUUUUUGCAUUUUUCUUUUAUAAACACAUCUUAUGAAUAAAAAAUCUUUUUGAAGUUUUUGAAUUGUGAAUGCAUGCUAAACGAGACAAAGGAAAAUCUUUUUGAUGUUUUUUGAGAAAAUGAGUGCGAAAGGUAAAAAAGUCCUUUUGAAUUUUGGAAUUGUGAAAAAUAAAAGCCAUAAAAAAAAACUCUAAAAACUACAAAACUUUUUUUUUUCAUUACCCACACACUUUACUUCAAAUGACCAUGUUACCUUCAAAGAUGCAACAUUUAGCACGUAGGGAUGCUUUAGAGACGAUUCUCCUACAAAGGGCCAAGUGGGCCCUGCUAGGUCUUCAAUAUGAUGCACAUAAGCAUAACCCAAAGACUGACCUACGUUGGGGUUCACUAUGGUCGACAGUGGUUGCUUUGCUUUCCACCUACUCCAUAACACCAACGGUUCCCCCCCUAAAAUAAGGGUGACUCAACUAGAGGUCGUGUACAACACGUGUACUACAGACUUGUUGCAGAAAGAAGGCCUGGGGGUUGGGGGUAGACACAUGAUGCCAGAUAUAAAAGCGGUAACAUAUAGGAUAAAUACUGUACAGAAAGAGCAUGAAAACGCACAACAGUGAUAACAAUAACACAAACAAUAAUCACAAACAAUGUUUAUACACCCAUAAUGUCAAACAAAGCCGAUACGACUCCAAAAAUAAGACCGAAUUCUGAAAAGAUCCCCAGCAGAGUAGCCAGAGCUGUCACACCCCUUAUUUAAUCGAAAAAAAGAUUAUGUAUUGGGUUUGAAAGAGUUUUUAUUAUUAAGUGACAAAAGAAAAGGAUUUGUUUUGAAGAAGGAUUGUUUUUACAUUUGAAAUCAGAGUCGCCACUUGGCAUAAUCUGGUGUGCCAAGUCACCAUUGGAAAAUCCUUUUCAAAAUCAUUUGACUCUUUAAACUGGUUUGCGAACAGAGAUUCCAGCUAAGGAAUUCUAUUGACCGAGGGGAAGGUGUUAGACAUCCUUCGAUCCCGUGGUUUGACCACGGUCGCUUGGUGGAGCGUAUCGGUUAAUUUUGACACUAUGAGUGUACAACCCACACAAAACACAUAAAACAAUCAAACAAACAAACAAAACAAAAAGAAUCAAUAGUACAGUGUCCAGUCCAAUUUAUAUGUUCAGUCCAAUUAUUACAAUCCAAAAAUAGAAAAAUGCGAAAAAUAUAAAUCCUAUUCUAAGCUAGUCCUAGACUAAGCUCCAAUGUUUCACCCGAUGCCUCGGGCCUUGAUCGAGAUCCGCCUUCGCCAACAUGAUACGUCGGUACAUUCCCCGGUGAAUAAAUACAUCAAUCUUCGGGGCAUUCCCCGGCCAAAUGAAUACACUUCAAUCCAAAAACAUAAACCAACACAUUUCAACAAAACACCCUCAAUAUUCAACGAUCGCAAGUCAUAAACUUUGCCUAACCCACUUAUAUUUGUCUAUCAAUGGUCGACCUAAACAUGAUACUACUAUUUUUCAACAACAUCCAUGCUUAUUCCGAACUGGACUACAUAUCACGUUCAAUGUCAACGAUUAAUUAAAACAACAAUAUUCAUUUUUAUCAACUUUCAAUUCUCGUUUUUCCCAAUUUCAUUGUCAAACUAGUUAACCAAUUCUUCGACUAUCAAAUCCAAUAUCAACCACGUACACACAAAAAAGAUUCAAAUACGCUAACCAAACAAGUUAUUCACACCCAUAACAAACGACUAAAAUUCCAAAAUAGAAUAGAGAAUGAGAUGAGAAAUGGACCUCAAUGCUUUAUUGAUUAACUGAUCUUUCCGAAUAGAACCGCGUCCAACGGAACUCAACGUCGAACCUCAGACCGACGAAACCGCAUCUCGGACUAGCCUCGAUAUGAACCCACAACUUGAACAAAAAUCCAAACUAGAAUCAAAUGCCGACCACCAGAAUCCAAACCCGAUUUCCGGUAGAAAACUGAAGACGCGUACAAAAUCGAACCCCGAUGAGCUACCAACUAGAUUUCAUCCAGAAAACAAGAAGACCGAGAGGAUCUAGGGAAUUUUAGGAUGGAUCAGGCCGAAACGAUAAGCUUGACGUCGAUUUCAGUGAGAUUUCACCGAAAUCCAAAGAGAAACGAUCGAACGAGGAAUGAAAAACUAAUUCCGACGAUCUAAGUCGCCGGAACAGUGACCAACGACUUGAAAUCUUCACUCUCUCUCUUGAUUUUUCACCCUCUCUACUUGAUCUAUCCCUUACCCCACUGUAUCUUGCGAAAAAAAAUGAAGAACAGAAGAAAAGAAAUGGUAUUUUUCUCUUUCUCGUUCUCUCUCUGCUACUCUCUCUCUUAUCGAUCUAUUCUCUUUUCUCUAUGUGUGUGUCUGUGAGAUGCUGUGAGGUGUGUGGUCCUUGUGGGAGUAAUGAUGGGUUUGCGAUGGAGAAGAAAAGGAGAGGAUAAUCUACUCUCAAAAAUGGCAUUUUUGAAGCCAGACCCAGGAAGGAAAAAAAAAU
rnacentral:lncRNA from 1 species